AUUGAACGCUGGCGGCAGGCUUAACACAUGCAAGUCGAGCGGGGUGAUGGUGCUUGCACUAUCACUUAGCGGCGGACGGGUGAGUAAUGCUUAGGAAUCUGCCUAUUAGUGGGGGACAACAUCUCGAAAGGGAUGCUAAUACCGCAUACGUCCUACGGGAGAAAGCAGGGGAUCACUUGUGACCUUGCGCUAAUAGAUGAGCCUAAGUCGGAUUAGCUAGUUGGUGGGGUAAAGGCCUACCAAGGCGACGGUCUGUAGCGGGUCUGAGAGGAUGAUCCGGCACGCUGGGACUGAGACACGGCCCAGACUCCUACGGGAGGCAGCAGUGGGGAAUAUUGGACAAUGGGGGGAACCCUGAUCCAGCCAUGCCGCGUGUGUGAAGAAAGCCUUAUGGUUGUAAAGCACUUUAAGCGAGGAGGAGGCUCUUUUGGUUAAUACCCAAGAUGAGUGGACGUUACUCGCAGAAUAAGCACCGGCUAACUCUGUGCCAGCCGCCGCGGUAA
rnacentral:rRNA from 1 species